CGAGUCGGUCAGGCGGUCGCGGCACCUGCAACGGUGCCGAGGAAAGUCCGGACUCCACAGAGCACGGUGGUGGGUAACGCCCACCCGGGGUGACCCGCGGGACAGUGCCACAGAAAGCAGACCGCCUCCGGCGACGGAGGUAAGGGUGAAACGGUGGUGUAAGAGACCACCAGCACCUCAGGCGACUGGGGUGGCUCGGUAAACCCCACCCGGAGCAAGAUCAAGAGGGUGCGCUUCGGCGCACCUGCGGGAACGUCCGAGGGCUGCUCGCCCGAGUUCCCGGGUAGAUCGCACCAGGCAGCUGGCAACAGCUGUCGCAGAUGGAUGAUCGCCGGUCACCGCUCGCGGUGAUCACAGAAUCCGGCUUAUCGACCGACUCGUCCG
rnacentral:RNase_P_RNA from 1 species